ensembl:lncRNA
CGGAGCAAGACAUCCUCCCGGAAAGGGAGGGGAGUAGUGCAGGGAGUAGUGUAACUGUCAAGAGGAAGGUUAGAGGUUGCGAACGCGCGCCAAGUUCAAAUGUGGAGGCGCGCGGAAGGACAGGGAGCCCGGAGGAGGAGCCAGGUCCCAAAGCACGCAGGAGGGGGGAAGAGCUGUCUGGGGAUUCCGCGUCAGGGGAAUCCAGGAGGGGUGAAACCCCAGGGGGCAGGAAGACCCUGCGGAAAAGGAAAGAAAGGAAGAGGUGGAGCAGCACAGCCCUCUUAAACUGGUGCAGAGGAGGGACUGACUCAGAGGGGACUUCAGCGGUCUAAGCGUAACAGACGUGGGGCUGCGCGCCUCGGCUGUGGAGCGUACAAUGAACUGCAAUAAACAUCUUUGUAUAUAAACUGGACUUGGCGUUGGUCUCUUGUGAGCUGGGACCUGAGGCAGCCCUGACAGUUAGGAUUUAUGUUUUUUUGUUUUUUUGUUUGUGUGUUUAAAAAUUUGGUGGAAAAUUAAAAAAAAAUUGGGGGAGAAAUAAAAUAAUAAGGACACGACACUUCUAUUCAAAGUCAAUAAAAGAAGUUUACUCAGUUGGAUUCCUGAAGGCAGACAUAGAUACAAAUAUGUACACGUGGAUCUACCCCAUAUGGGGGAAUAAUCCCAGUGCUUCUGCUAGCUGAGAAGCUGGCAGAGCAGUCCUAGCUAAAAAGCUACUCCAACAAUGGAGGAAGUCAGAAAGAUUGGCAGCAUGCCUUGUCCUAUUGUUACCUGGACAGGUAAGGUCAUGCCCAUCUUUAGUCACAUGCAGAGGAAGGAUGCUCCAGCCCAGGAGGAAACACACGUCUUCUCUAGGAAAACAAGGAAUGUUGUGUUUGACUGCUCCCAGUGGAUUACAUCCUACUUGAAAGACUCUUUUAUCUGCCUGAAUCUUCCAACAUUCAGCAUCAUUAGAUGCAGCCCUGGAUUCAAUUUAUCGGAAGCGGUCCUCCCCGGGAAAGGCAGCCGAUCCAUUUGCUGGAGAACAAAAGACAAGAGCCCGUGCCCCUCCCCUCGACCUUCUCCCGGGAAUCCUGACACGCCGAGAGGCUUUGAUGCUCUAAUGUCUCUUUUAUUCCCUAACAAACGACACCAGAAAAAUCUGCCUUUCCUCUGACAGCUGCUUCAUCUGUAGCGCUGUAAACCUUGCUCUGUAAUCAAUAGAUGUGAUGUGGACAAGCCUCACCUUUUAUGCUAAAGCCCUUAAUGGGCCAGGAAGCAGGAGUGAUGCCCAGGGGGACCCAGAAAUCAAAUACAGGGAGAUAGAGAAAAAAGAAGAGUCUGCUUGCUCCAUUUUUUUUAUGCCACCAGGCCUGUUUUCCACCUUCGUUGAGGAACUAACUAGACAUUCCUGCUGCUCCAUCUCUUUCCCUCCCUCCCACUUUCUUGUACCAUCGAAACACAACAAAUGAGGAUAUUGCAGAGUUGGGAAGGGUUCAGAAAAGGGUUGCCAGAAAUGAUCAAGGGGUGGAGAGACUCCCCCAGGAGGAAAGGGGCCAGCAUUUGGGAAUUUUUUUAGUUUAGAGAAAAUAAUAAUUUAUUAUUUAUACCCCGCCCAUCUGACUGGGUCUCCCUAGCCACUCUGGGCGGCUUCCAAACAAAUAUCAAAAACAAUGCAGAGUCAGACAUUAAAAACUUCCCUAAACAGGGCCGCCUUCAGGUGUCUUUUAAAAGUAAAAUAGUUGUUUAUUGCCUUGACAUCUGGUGGGAGGGCGUUCCACAGGGCGGGCGCCGCCACCGAGAAGGCCCUCUGCCAGGUUCCCUGUAACCUCACUUCUCGCAGUGAGGGAACCGCUAGAAGGCCCUCGGAGCUGGAUCUCAGUGUCCGGGCUGGAUGAUGGGGGUGGAGACACUCCUUCAGGGAUACUGGGCCUUUGAGGCCGUUUAGGGCUUUAAAGGUCAGCACCAACACUUUGAAUUGUGCUCAGAAAAAUACUGGGAGCCAAUGUAGGUGUCUCAGGACCGGUGUUAUGUGGUCUCAGCAGCCACUCCCAGUCACCAGUCUAGCUGCCGCAUUCUGGAUUCUGCAGUUUCCGGGUCACCUUCAAAGGUAGCCCCACGUAGAGCGCAAGUUAGAAGAGACAUGAUAGAAGUUUUUACUGAAGUAGUCAGAUAGCAGCACAGACCUGGCGCAACCCCCUCCCCAACUUUCUGGAAGAACGGCAGCCCCUGCUGCAACAGCUACUUUGCAUUAACCCUGCAUGCCAUUCAUGGCUGCAGAAUAAUGACUCCACAUCUACUAUUUCGGAAGCAAGUCCAAGCAUUUAAUGGCAACGUUGUUAGAAAGAGUGGCAUCCUAUUUCUCUCUCCCCCCCCCCCCGUGUUUAAAAAAAUCACACUAUAUUUUGAACGGUUCCACCGAGCAACGAGAUUAAUGGGUGGCGGAGUUUGCAAAGAUUGCCUGCGAUAAAUAAUUGGUGGAGAAGCAAGGAGGCAGGUGGCAAAGUUCUGCAUUGGGCUGCUCUUGGGUAACGGAUCACUCUUUGCUUCGGGGUUCAUCAGUCUCUUGAAAA